GGUUAAGCGACUAAGCGUACACGGUGGAUGCCCUGGCAGUCAGAGGCGAUGAAGGACGUGCUAAUCUGCGAUAAGCGUCGGUGAGGUGAUAUGAACCGUUAUAACCGGCGAUUUCCGAAUGGGGAAACCCAGUGUGUUUCGACACACUAUCAUUAACUGAAUUCAUAGGUUAAUGAGGCGAACCGGGGGAACUGAAACAUCUAAGUACCCCGAGGAAAAGAAAUCAACCGAGAUUCCCCCAGUAGCGGCGAGCGAACGGGGAGGAGCCCAGAGCCUGAAUCAGUGUGUGUGUUAGUGGAAGCGUCUGGAAAGGCGCGCGAUACAGGGUGACAGCCCCGUACACAAAAAUGCACAUAUUGUGAGCUCGAUGAGUAGGGCGGGACACGUGGUAUCCUGUCUGAAUAUGGGGGGACCAUCCUCCAAGGCUAAAUACUCCUGACUGACCGAUAGUGAACCAGUACCGUGAGGGAAAGGCGAAAAGAACCCCGGCGAGGGGAGUGAAAAAGAACCUGAAACCGUGUACGUACAAGCAGUGGGAGCCUCUUAAUGGGGUGACUGCGUACCUUUUGUAUAAUGGGUCAGCGACUUAUAUUCUGUAGCAAGGUUAACCGAAUAGGGGAGCCGAAGGGAAACCGAGUCUUAACUGGGCGUUAAGUUGCAGGGUAUAGACCCGAAACCCGGUGAUCUAGCCAUGGGCAGGUUGAAGGUUGGGUAACACUAACUGGAGGACCGAACCGACUAAUGUUGAAAAAUUAGCGGAUGACUUGUGGCUGGGGGUGAAAGGCCAAUCAAACCGGGAGAUAGCUGGUUCUCCCCGAAAGCUAUUUAGGUAGCGCCUCGUGAAUUCAUCUCCGGGGGUAGAGCACUGUUUCGGCAAGGGGGUCAUCCCGACUUACCAACCCGAUGCAAACUGCGAAUACCGGAGAAUGUUAUCACGGGAGACACACGGCGGGUGCUAACGUCCGUCGUGAAGAGGGAAACAACCCAGACCGCCAGCUAAGGUCCCAAAGUCAUGGUUAAGUGGGAAACGAUGUGGGAAGGCCCAGACAGCCAGGAUGUUGGCUUAGAAGCAGCCAUCAUUUAAAGAAAGCGUAAUAGCUCACUGGUCGAGUCGGCCUGCGCGGAAGAUGUAACGGGGCUAAACCAUGCACCGAAGCUGCGGCAGCGACACUAUGUGUUGUUGGGUAGGGGAGCGUUCUGUAAGCCUGUGAAGGUGUACUGUGAGGUAUGCUGGAGGUAUCAGAAGUGCGAAUGCUGACAUAAGUAACGAUAAAGCGGGUGAAAAGCCCGCUCGCCGGAAGACCAAGGGUUCCUGUCCAACGUUAAUCGGGGCAGGGUGAGUCGACCCCUAAGGCGAGGCCGAAAGGCGUAGUCGAUGGGAAACAGGUUAAUAUUCCUGUACUUGGUGUUACUGCGAAGGGGGGACGGAGAAGGCUAUGUUGGCCGGGCGACGGUUGUCCCGGUUUAAGCGUGUAGGCUGGUUUUCCAGGCAAAUCCGGAAAAUCAAGGCUGAGGCGUGAUGACGAGGCACUACGGUGCUGAAGCGACAAAUGCCCUGCUUCCAGGAAAAGCCUCUAAGCAUCAGGUAACAUCAAAUCGUACCCCAAACCGACACAGGUGGUCAGGUAGAGAAUACCAAGGCGCUUGAGAGAACUCGGGUGAAGGAACUAGGCAAAAUGGUGCCGUAACUUCGGGAGAAGGCACGCUGAUAUGUAGGUGAAGCGACUUGCUCGUGGAGCUGAAAUCAGUCGAAGAUACCAGCUGGCUGCAACUGUUUAUUAAAAACACAGCACUGUGCAAACACGAAAGUGGACGUAUACGGUGUGACGCCUGCCCGGUGCCGGAAGGUUAAUUGAUGGGGUUAGCGGUAACGCGAAGCUCUUGAUCGAAGCCCCGGUAAACGGCGGCCGUAACUAUAACGGUCCUAAGGUAGCGAAAUUCCUUGUCGGGUAAGUUCCGACCUGCACGAAUGGCGUAAUGAUGGCCAGGCUGUCUCCACCCGAGACUCAGUGAAAUUGAACUCGCUGUGAAGAUGCAGUGUACCCGCGGCAAGACGGAAAGACCCCGUGAACCUUUACUAUAGCUUGACACUGAACAUUGAGCCUUGAUGUGUAGGAUAGGUGGGAGGCUUUGAAGUGUGGACGCCAGUCUGCAUGGAGCCGACCUUGAAAUACCACCCUUUAAUGUUUGAUGUUCUAACGUGGGCCCCUUACCGGGGUUGCGGACAGUGUCUGGUGGGUAGUUUGACUGGGGCGGUCUCCUCCUAAAGAGUAACGGAGGAGCACGAAGGUUGGCUAAUCCUGGUCGGACAUCAGGAGGUUAGUGCAAUGGCAUAAGCCAGCUUGACUGCGAGCGUGACGGCGCGAGCAGGUGCGAAAGCAGGUCAUAGUGAUCCGGUGGUUCUGAAUGGAAGGGCCAUCGCUCAACGGAUAAAAGGUACUCCGGGGAUAACAGGCUGAUACCGCCCAAGAGUUCAUAUCGACGGCGGUGUUUGGCACCUCGAUGUCGGCUCAUCACAUCCUGGGGCUGAAGUAGGUCCCAAGGGUAUGGCUGUUCGCCAUUUAAAGUGGUACGCGAGCUGGGUUUAGAACGUCGUGAGACAGUUCGGUCCCUAUCUGCCGUGGGCGCUGGAGAACUGAGGGGGGCUGCUCCUAGUACGAGAGGACCGGAGUGGACGCAUCACUGGUGUUCGGGUUGUCAUGCCAAUGGCACUGCCCGGUAGCUAAAUGCGGAAGAGAUAAGUGCUGAAAGCAUCUAAGCACGAAACUUGCCCCGAGAUGAGUUCUCCCUGACUCCUUGAGAGUCCUGAAGGAACGUUGAAGACGACGACGUUGAUAGGCCGGGUGUGUAAGCGCAGCGAUGCGUUGAGCUAACCGGUACUAAUGAACCGUGAGGCUUAACCUU
rnacentral:rRNA from 1 species